UAGUCCACGCCGUAAACGAUGUCAACUAGCUGUCCGAACCCACAGGGUUUGGGUGGCGCAGCUAACGCAUUAAGUUAUCCGCCUGGGGAGUACGGUCGCAAGAUUAAAACUCAAAGGAAUUGACGGGGCCUGCACAAGCGGUGGAGCAUGUGGUUUAAUUCGACGCAACGCGCAGAACCUUACCAGCUUUUGACAUCCUGGUCGCGGAUUUGGGAGACCAUUUCCUUCAGUUCGGCUGGACCAGUGACAGGUGCUGCAUGGCUGUCGUCAGCUCGUGUUGUGAAAUGUUGGGUUAAGUCUCGCAACGAGCGCAACCCUUGUCCUUAGUUGCCAGCAUUAAGUUGGGCACUCUAGGGAGACUGCCUGGGUUAACCAGGGAGGAAGGUGGGGAUGGACGUCAAGUCCUCAUGGCCCUUAUGUCCAGGGGCUACACACGUGAUACAAUGGU
rnacentral:rRNA from 1 species